UACAGAGGUCCCAAGCGUUGUUCGGAUUCACUGGGCGUAAAGGGUGCGUAGGUGGCCAGGUAAGUUUGGUGUGAAAGCUCGGAGCUUAACUCCGAAAAGUCAUUGAAUACUAUCUGGCUGGAGGGUCGGAGGGGAGACUGGAAUUCUCGGUGUAGCAGUGAAAUGCGUAGAUAUCGAGAGGAACACCUGCGGCGAAGGCGGGUAGCUGGGCCGACACUGACGCUGAUGCGCGAAAGCCAGGGGAGCGAACGGG
rnacentral:rRNA from 1 species